GUGAAUCAUCGAAUUUUUGAACGCAAAUUGCACUUUCUGGUAUUCCGGAGAGUAUGCCUGUUUGAGAAUCAGUUAAAUAAAAAUCGGCGUUUUUGCUGCUUUUCGUCUUGACUCGUCGGAAUUGAGUUGUCUUACCUUCGGUUAAUUUACUUAAAACUUUGCAUGAUUUUCGAACGUAUUUAAAUUUAUUACAUUCUUAUCAUAUAUCG
rnacentral:misc_RNA from 1 species